UCUGUCAUUGGGAGACACAGAUCGU
rnacentral:piRNA from 1 species